UGGAUGAGUGUCUGAGUGGUUUAAGGUACCGGUCUUGAAAACCGGCAUACUGAAUAAGUAUCGGGGGUUCGAAUCCUCCCUCAUCCG
rnacentral:tRNA from 1 species